CGGGGGAGCAAGCGUUGUUCGGAUUUACUGGGCGUAAAGGGCGCGUAGGCGGCCUCUGCAAGUCGACUGUGAAAUCUCCGGGCUUAACCCGGAACGGUCAGCCGAUACUGCAGGGCUAGAGUGCAGAAGGGGCAACUGGAAUUCUCGGUGUAGCGGUGAAAUGCGUAGAUAUCGAGAGGAACACCUGCGGCGAAGGCGGGUUGCUGGGCUGACACUGACGCUGAGGCGCGAAAGCUAGGGGAGCGAACGGGAUUAGAUACCCCGGUAGUCCUAGCCUUAAACGAUGAAUGCUUGGUGUCUGGGGUUUUAUAGUCCCCGGGUGCCGUCGCUAACGCCUUAAGCAUUCCGCCUGGGGAGUACGGUCGCAAGACUG
rnacentral:rRNA from 1 species